rnacentral:tRNA from 1 species
GGCUUCGUAGCUCAGCUGAUAGAGCGUGCGCUGUACAAAAGCGUAGAUGGCGCCCAUGCAUGGGGUCGAAUCCCACCGGGGCCA